AGAGGCAGGCAGAUCUACAUGAGUUUGAGGACUUUUUACUUUAAUCCUUGCAGCUGUAUUUCCGAGUAACAGCGGAGACAGGUUUACCCUCUCUAAACUAUUAGCUGUAAUUUUAAGCAUUGGAGGCGUGGUGCUGGUGAACCUGUCUGGAUCUGAAAAGUCUGCUGGAAGAGACACGAUAGGGUUUGUAGGUCUGUUUAAUCUGCUGCUCUUGUGGCCGGGCUUCUUUUUACUUCAUUAUACUGGCUUUGAGGACUUCGAGUUUCCCAAUAAAGUGGUACUGCUGUGUAUCAUUAUCAACGGCCUCAUUGGAACAGUUCUGUCCGAGUUUCUGUGGUUAUGGGGCUGCUUUCUUACCUCAUCGUUGAUAGGCACACUUGCACUAAGCCUUACGAUACCUCUCUCCAUCAUAGCGGACAUGUGCAUGCAAAAGGUGCAGUUUUCUUGGUUAUUUUUUGCAGGCGCUAUCCCUGUAUUUUUUUCAUUUUUUAUUGUUACUCUCCUAUGCCAUUAUAAUAAUUGGGAUCCUGUGAUGGUAGGAGUCAGAAGAGUUUUUGCCUUUAUAUGCAGAAAACAUCGAAUUCAGAGAGUUUCAGAAGACAGUGAACAGUGCGAGAGCCUCAUUUCGAUGCACAGCGUUUCUCAGGAGGAUGGAGCUGCUUAGCUGCUGUGGUCUGUAGUCAGUUUAAUGGAACAUUCUACAGUGAAGAGACAAUCUGGCGAGUUCUUUGUAGAGGUGUU
rnacentral:lncRNA from 1 species